GUACUUGCUUUGGCAGCACAUAUACUACAAUUGAAAUAAUACAAAUAUUAGCAUGGCCCCUAUGCAAGGUUGACAUACAAAUUCAUGAAGCGUUCUAUACUUUU
rnacentral:snRNA from 1 species